rnacentral:rRNA from 1 species
UGGGGAAUAUUGGACAAUGGGCGCAAGCCUGAUCCAGCCAUGCCGCGUGUGUGAAGAAGGCCUUCGGGUUGUAAAGCACUUUUGUCCGGAAAGAAAGGCAUUCAAUUAAUACUUGGGUGUUAUGACGGUACCGGAAGAAUAAGCACCGGCUAACUUCGUGCCAGCAGCCGCGGUAAUACGAAGGGUGCAAGCGUUUCUCGGAAUUACUGGGCGUAAAGCGUGCGUAGGUGGUUUGUUAAGUCUGAUGUGAAAGCCCUGGGCUCAACCUGGGAAUGGCAUUGGAUACUGGCUUACUAGAGUGCGGUAGAGGGUGGCGGAAUUCCCGGUGUAGCAGUGAAAUGCGUAGAUAUCGGGAGGAACAUCCGUGGCGAAGGCGGCCUCCUGGACCAGCACUGACACUGAGGCACGAAAGCGUGGGGAGCAAACAGGAUUAGAUACCCUGGUAGUCCACGCCCUAAACGAUGCGAACUGGAUGUUGGGUGCAAUUAGGCACUCAGUAUCGAAGCUAACGCGUUAAGU